rnacentral:rRNA from 1 species
UACAGGGGGGGCAAGCGUUGUUCGGAAUUACUGGGCGUAAAGGGCUCGUAGGUGGCCAACUAAGUCAGACGUGAAAUCCCUCAGCUUAACUGGGGAACUGCGUCUGAUACUGGAUGGCUUGAGUUUGGGAGAGGGAUGCGGAAUUCCAGGUGUAGCGGUGAAAUGCGUAGAUAUCUGGAGGAACACCGGUGGCGAAGGCGGCAUCCUGGACCAAAACUGACGCUGAAUAGCGAAAGCCAGGGGAGCAAACGGG